CAUAAAAUGCCUACGGGAUACUCUGUUCACACUUCGCGAAAACCAACGAUCUUUUUAAAAAAAUUCGAAAAAAAUCUGCAACGAUCUUUUUGAAAAAAAGCAUUGACGGUAAGGUAGACAACUAUACAAGUUUAUUUAAAGCCAGUCAAGAUCUCAUUGCUCUGUAAUUUCAAACGAGUCAGGACUUUUCUUCUUCGAGUCAGGACUUUUCUUCUUUUCCUUGUAAUGGACAGUUCUUCAUAUCAGAUUCAAUUUCAGAUUUAACGUAUGGGUCUGUGGAGGAGUUCAUGACAGAGCUAACAGAUAGCAAAAACUCUUCAUAGUAGCCUCUAUUUCCAGCUUUGUAGAAGAGGGCAAAAAAAUUUCUAAUAGCUAUAGAUUGUCUUAUUUCAACAUCCAAUUUGAGAUUUUAAUGUAUGGUCUGUGGAAGAGUUCAGAUGACAAAAACUCUUCAUAGUGGCCUCUAUUUCCAGCUUUGUAGAAGAGGGCAGAACAUUUCUAAUAGCUAAUAGAUUCUCUUAUUUCAACAUCCAAUUUGAGUCUAAAAGCCUUAAGCACUCUUGGAUGAAGGUUUGAACACAUGAAUCUGCAGAAGAGAGUUAAACAAAUACAGAAAGUUCUUCAUAUUUUUUCCCAACUCCAGCUCAAACGGAGAUGUCAAGGAAAUGCCUACCACAAUACAGUCCCAUACUCUUUUCAGACCUGAUUUGCCCUUCCCAUGACAUGUACAGCUCCCUAUAUGCAGCUACAGGUCUGUACUGCUCAGUCCCUGCUCACCCUUGUACUGUACGGUUUUGAUUUAGGUGUUUGCAGGCAUGUACAGCUGAGUGCUGAAGUAUUGCAAGUUGAGUCGGCACUUUGGUGAAUAUCUGACUUAUUUAGGGAUAGCUUUGUUUUGAUAGAAGAGGGGAGGAACAAAAGAGGAAUUCCAUAUAGGUUCCAAUGGAAUAAGAAAGAUUAUUGUAUGUAUUAUUUUAUUGUGUUAAAGAUAAAUAGUAUAUGUAUGUAAGCUACCUUAUUUGGCUAA